rnacentral:tRNA from 1 species
ACCUGUUUGUCGAAAUGGUAUACGAUGUCGAAUUAAAAUCGAUUGCUUUUAGCGUGUGAGUUCGAGUCUCACAACAGGUA